GACGAACGCUGGCGGCGUGCUUAACACAUGCAAGUCGAACGGAAAGGCCCUGCUUUUGUUGGUUGCUCGAGUGUCGAACGGGUGAGUAACACGUGAGUAACCUGCCCUUGACUUUGGGAUAACUUCAGGAAACUGGGGCUAAUACCGGAUAGGAGCUCCUGCUGCAUGGUGGGGGUUGGAAAGUUUCGGCGGUUGUGGAUGGACUCGCGGCUUAUCAGCUUGUUGGUGGGGUAGUGGCUUACCAAGGCUUUGACGGGUAGCCGGCCUGAGAGGGUGACCGGCCACAAUGGGACUGAGAUAGGGCCCAGACUCCUACGGGAGGCAGCAGUGGGGAAUAUUGCACAAUGGGCGGAAGCCUGAUGCAGAAACGCCGCGUGCGGGAUGACGGCCUUCGGGUUGUAAACCGCUUUCGCCUGUGACGAAGAGUGAGUGACGGUAAUGGGUAAAGAAGCACCGGCUAACUACGUG
rnacentral:rRNA from 1 species